rnacentral:rRNA from 1 species
UACGUAGGGUGCAAGCGUUAAUCGGAAUUACUGGGCGUAAAGCGUGCGCAGGCGGCUUUGCAAGACAGAUGUGAAAUCCCCGGGCUCAACCUGGGAACUGCAUUUGUGACUGUAGAGCUGGAGUGCGGCAGAGGGGGAUGGAAUUCCGCGUGUAGCAGUGAAAUGCGUAGAUAUGCGGAGGAACACCGAUGGCGAAGGCAAUCCCCUGGGCCUGCACUGACGCUCAUGCACGAAAGCGUGGGGAGCGAACAGG